rnacentral:misc_RNA from 1 species
AGUGUUCAACAAAUUUCGUAUAACCUUCCCCUAGUACUCCUCUUGCUCCCAACUCCCCAUACACCCACCGCGGUGUUUUGGCAACCAAACGGUACAGACCCUACAAAAAACGGAAGCCCCCUCCUUUGGCUCCAUCUACCUGCCUCCCCAUCAAAAGUCUUACUCACCUACCCCUCGCUCCUCGCCAUGUUAAUUAUUAAGGGUCGGUACACUGGCCGCCAACUGUUUGGCAGGGACCCCCACUCUAUAAUCAUUCCAUACACCCAGGACCAAUUAACCUGGCUCCUGCAAACCUCUGACGAAUGGGCCAUUGCAUUAUCCUCCUUCACAGGAGAGAUAGACAAUCAUUACCCCAGUGACCCUGUUAUCCAAUUUGCCAAGCUUCACCAGUUCAUAUUCCCCAAGAUCACAAAAUGUGCCCCAAUUCCUCAAGCCACGCUAGUUUUCACUGAUGGAUCCUCAAACGGAAUUGCUGCAUAUGUUAUUGAUAAUCAACCCAUCUCAAUAAAAUCCCCCUACCUGUCAGCUCAACUUGUUGAGCUCUAUGCUAUUCUCCAGGUGUUCACAGUUCUAGCUCACCAACCGUUUAACUUGUACACUGACAGUGCGUAUAUUGCUCAAUCAGUCCCUCUUUUGGAGACAGUCCCCUUUAUCAAAUCCUCAACCAAUGCUACCCCCUUA